UACGGAGGGUGCGAGCGUUGUCCGGAAUUACUGGGCGUAAAGGGAGCGUAGGCGGGUUAUCAAGUUGGAGGUGAAAGCCCAGGGCUCAACCUUGGAAUUGCCUUCAAAACUGAUAGCCUAGAGUAUGAUAGAGGUAUGUGGAACUCCGAGUGUAGAGGUGAAAUUCGUAGAUAUUCGGAAGAACACCAGUGGCGAAGGCGACAUACUGGGUCAUGACUGACGCUGAGGCUCGAAAGCGUGGGGAGCAAACAGGG
rnacentral:rRNA from 1 species